GACGAACGCUGGCGGCGUGCCUAAUACAUGCAAGUUGAGCGCUGAAGGUUGGUACUUGUACCAACUGGAUGAGCAGCGAACGGGUGAGUAACGCGUGGGGAAUCUGCCUUUGAGCGGGGGACAACAUUUGGAAACGAAUGCUAAUACCGCAUAAAAACUUUAAACACAAGUUUUAAGUUUGAAAGAUGCAAUUGCAUCACUCAAAGAUGAUCCCGCGUUGUAUUAGCUAGUUGGUGAGGUAAAGGCUCACCAAGGCGAUGAUACAUAGCCGACCUGAGAGGGUGAUCGGCCACAUUGGGACUGAGACACGGCCCAAACUCCUACGGGAGGCAGCCGUAGGGAAUCUUCGGCAAUAGACGAAAGUCUGACCGAGCAACGCCGCGUGAGUGAAGAAGGUUUUCGGAUCGUAAAACUCUGUUGGUAGAGAAGAACGUUGGUGAGAGUGGAAAGCUCAUCAAGUGACGGUAACUACCCAGAAAGGGACGGCUAACUACGUG
rnacentral:rRNA from 1 species